AAGGCAUUCCAUCUUGUGACUUAACAUAAUACUCCCACCCCUACCAACUCCGAGCAAGCCGUGUGUAAUCGGCUCCUCAUGAGCUUUAUCGUUUUGAGCAAUAAUAUCAGCCAUCUAAACUUAUUUUAGGACCCUAUUAAAGUUUAAUUUUAGGACCCAAUCAACGGAUUUUCAUAAACUUUGAUCCCUUUGAUCCCUUAAGAAAAUCUCACCCGCAUUGGAAACGAAUCCUUCUCACCAAUCCGGUUUGACAGCUCUACUGUCACGCAAAAAGUCGGCUUGAUUUCAAAAUUUUUGUGGCUGCUCGAAGUUCCAUUCAAAUUAAAAUAAAAUCCUCCCAAAAUGGUCAACAAAACCGACUCCAACGACCACGAGCCCACGGACAAUAAGCGCAGGCAUUCGACCUCAGUGACGGAACCGUACCGACGAAGCUCCACGGAGGAAAUCUAUACACGAACACGGUCGCUUUCGAGCAGCAGGAAGCGGCCAAACGCAGUCCGGAGGCCGACUCGAAGCUGUUUCACACGACCUGCGAUGAGCUGCACAAGUUAUUUGACGUGAUUGUGACGCUGAAGGAGGAGGGAGCGGCGUCGGAGGAGGUUCAAUGAAGGUUGCGGAGAAGCGGAUCGAGGGUUGGCGAGGAACCAACGGCGGCUGUGUUGAAAAUGGCCCAGUGUGCGCACUUUUUGUACGAGAAUUAUAGGAGAAACCGGAAAAGGACAUUUGUAACUGUAUGAAGUGAAAAUUAUGAAUGAAAAAUAAGAUGGUGAGAAAAAAAAUCAAUUUAAGUCGUAAAAUAAAGUUGAAAAAUGUGAAAUCGGAAAAA